rnacentral:rRNA from 1 species
AAACGGGGAGGAGAACUAACAAGGAUUCCCCUAGUAACGGCGAGUGAAGCGGGAAGAGCUCAAGCUUAAAAUCUCCGUGCAAGUUUUGCGCGGCGAAUUGUAGUCUAUAGAGGCGUGGUCAGCGUGGGCGCUUGGGGCAAGUUCCUUGGAAGAGGACAGCAUGGAGGGUGAUACUCCCGUUCAUCCCUGAGUGGCUCGUGCGUACGACCCGUGUUCUUUGAGUCGCGUUGUUUGGGAAUGCAGCGCAAAGUAGGUGGUAAAUUCCAUCUAAAGCUAAAUAUUGGUGCGAGACCGAUAGCGAACAAGUACCGUGAGGGAAAGAUGAAAAGAACUUUGAAAAGAGAGUUAAAGAGUACCUGAAACUGCUGAAAGGGAACCGAAUCGUUUCCAGUGUCUAUAAUCCGUGGCAUAUUUCAUUGGCGAGUGUGCGCGUGCGUGUGCUGUGGCAGUGGCUUUUUUGGCUGCGCUCGGUGCGUGUGCUGUGUGUGCUUGCUGGUGCCCUGUGCUGCGGUGGGACGUCAAGGUCAGUUCGUAUGCUGCGGGAAAUGGCUGCCGAGGAGGUAGGGCUUACGCUCCGCGUUUGUCUGUUAUAUCUUGGUGGACGAGUCGUCGUGGUUGGGACUGAGGUGCCUACAACGUGCUUUUGAGUGGGUUCGUGUCUCCGUGUGCGCCGUGUGCGGAUAGCUUGCUAUGCGUGUGUGGUUGUGCGUGGAUUGGUGCGGACUUUAACUUGUCGCCGUUCGGGGACGUUGACGAAAUGGAGCGAUCCGACCCGUCUUGAAACACGGACCAAGGAGUCUAAUAUGUGUUGCAAAGUGUUCUGGUUGUGGAAACCCCCAUCACAAU